UGAAUCCAGAAGUAAAAAUUUUACUUCAGCUUUUGAUGAAACAUUCGGUCACUUGGGGUUUCUUCAUCUUAAGAUCGUUUUUGAUGAUUCUUUCACCGAUUUUUCAAGAAUUCGAUCCUCUAUCAUCCUAAGACUUCAAUUCAAGAUCUUACGCGCUAUUGGAUUGGAGAAAUAAAAGAUUUGGGGGAAUUAACAACAGGCUAUUUUAUUUCGCUUUAGAAGUUUGAAAAUUUGGAAUAAGCGAUCGAGGAUUAAUAUAUGACAAUGUGGUCGAGCUUCCAUUCGUUGUUCCGGAAGUCUCAGUUAUGGGAGGUCUUAUUCUUCUUAGAGCUGCAGUAGUCAUGAUAGUAGAGCUAGCCAGUAGUAAACGAUUUCUUUUAUUUUAUUUUAUGCUAUGACAUAAUGAUGUAUUUUGGGAAAGUGAAUUAUCUAGAAAUUUAAUAUAUGGUUAAUUGGUAUUUUA